rnacentral:rRNA from 1 species
GACAUAGGUUGCGAACGUUAUCCGGAAUUACUGGGCGUAAAGGGCGCGUAGGCGGAUCGUUAAGUCAGAGGUGAAAGCCCAGGGCUCAACCCUGGAAUUGCCUUUGAUACUGGCGAUCUUGAGUACGGGAGAGGUGUGUGGAACUCCGAGUGUAGAGGUGAAAUUCGUAGAUAUUCGGAAGAACACCAGUGGCGAAGGCGACACACUGGCCCGUUACUGACGCUGAGGCGCGAAAGCGUGGGGAGCAAACAGG